AUGGUUCAGGACCGCGGACAGCAGCACUCAUGCUGGGAAUGAGGCUUUCUGAAAUUGCAGUGACUUCAAAAGUAUGGUGUAUUUUAGAGUAAGUGUGUUGGCAUGGCUACAAACGGAUAAGGUGAUGGUGAGAAUAUUAAAACUCACGGCUGAAUUACAUUUUUUUCUUCCCUUCAUGGCAGGGGAAAAAUCACUGACAUUAUCAUGAAGAAAGUCACAUAGCAGGACUCAGACACCUUAAUUGAAUAAACUUUUCACCUUAAUGAUAGAGUGGCUCAAUACAUAGGCAUAUUUGAUGGCUCUUUUAAAGUUAUCAUUCCAAAUCAAUAACUGCAAAGCAAAUGUGUGUAUUUUUUUUACUGUGCUGUCCAUGGUGUCAAUGAAAAUAAAGAUGUUAAAAGUUGAACUAAAAAAUGAGAACUGAGUUGAGAUUCAUGCACUAACACAGGAUAAUGCAAAUUAGUUUUAGAUGUGAAAUUAAAAACAUCAUUGGCUAUUUUUACAAUAAAAUUUUAAAAGUCCUUUCAUGACCUUGUCCAACGAUUUAAAUGACCCUGUCAUCCACCUUCUGACACAAGUCACUUAAGCAAACGGUUACUUGAAACUUCACCAAUGGAAGCCUGAAAAUUUAA